rnacentral:rRNA from 1 species
GACGAACGCUGGCGGCGUGCUUAACACAUGCAAGUCGAGCGGUAAGGCCCUUUCGGGGGUACACGAGCGGCGAACGGGUGAGUAACACGUGGGUGACCUGCCCUUAGCUCUGGGAUAAGCCUGGGAAACUGGGUCUAAUACCGGAUAUGACUCCAUGACGCAUGUUGUGGGGUGGAAAGCCUUGUGCGGCUAGGGAUGGGCCCGCGGCCUAUCAGCUUGUUGGUGGGGUGAUGGCCUACCAAGGCGACGACGGGUAGCCGGCCUGAGAGGGCGACCGGCCACACUGGGGACUGAGACACGGCCCAGACUCCUACGGGAGGCAGCAGUGGGGAAUCUUGCGCAAUGGGCGAAAGCCUGACGCAGCGACGCCGCGUGGGGAUGACGGCCU